rnacentral:lncRNA from 1 species
CUAUGUAGUACAUGUUAUGGCGAGCCAUUAUGGUGAGCCUUGUCACAGGCCUAGCCAUGAUUGAACUUUGAGUCACCUCGCCGGCAGGGACGUGCUCUCGCCCAUAGCCACGGGCGAGUUCAGCUGGUAGCAGAUGUAACCCAUAAUGGUGGUUAUUGUUUCCCUCUGGAAUGUGUGGGCGGUACUCUCACUCCCGUGCAGCCCUCGCUCCCGUGCAGCCCUCGCUCCUGUGCAGCCCUUGCUCCCGUGCAGCCGGAGAGUAUAAAAGGAAGAGGUUCUGUAAUAAAGCAAGCAAGAAACCAAGCAAGGAACAUGAGAAGAAAGCUAUACCUUUCGAUCACAUUCAUCAUUGGGAACUUGUACCUGGACACGAUAUCUUGGUACUUACAUUUUUUCUCAUUCUCCCACCUUCCCUUCAGCUCUUGCACCCCUCUCUAUAUACAUAAGCUUUGUUUCCAUUUUUUCCUUCUUCUCUUCAACUCCCCCCCACCUCCUUCCUAGUUUCUCUUCCCCUUGGAACAUUUUCUUCCUAAUUCACAAUACCUGUUUUACAUUUUAGUCCUCAUUUACACCUUCAGUUUCUCACACCAGAGAAAUAUUUCACUAUUUACACGUGUGUCCUAUUUAUUGCACUUAAAAGUAUGGCCUCAGGGUGCAUCCAUUUAGCUAUAAAUGUCUCAAGUUUAUCUUUCUUUAUGGCUGAGUAGUACCCCAUUUUAUUUUUUAAAAAAACCACACCUUCCUCAUCUACUCACCAACUGAUAAGCUUUUAGGCUUGUUUCCAAGAUUUAGCUAUUAAAAAUUGUGCUGAUAUAAACAUGGGUGCAUGUGUAUUGCUCAAGUAUGAUGCUUUUAAUUAUUUCAGGAACAUAUCCAGCAGGGAAGUGGCAGGAUUAAAUGGGACCUCUAAUCCUACUUUGAGGAAUCUCCACGCUGAUUUCCACAGUGGUUGCACCAGUCUACACUCCCACCAACAGGGAAGAAGGUUUCCUUUCUCCCCGCAGCCCUGCCAGCAUUUAUUAUUGGUGGAUUUCUUGAUAGCAG